rnacentral:rRNA from 1 species
UACAUCGGAACGUGCCCAAUCGUGGGGGGAUAACGCAGCGAAAGCUGUGCUAAUACCGCAUACGAUCUACGGAUGAAAGCAGGGGAUCGCAAGACCUUGCGCGAAUGGAGCGGCCGAUGGCAGAUUAGGUAGUUGGUGAGGUAAAGGCUCACCAAGCCUUCGAUCUGUAGCUGGUCUGAGAGGACGACCAGCCACACUGGGACUGAGACACGGCCCAGACUCCUACGGGAGGCAGCAGAA